UACGAGGGGGGGCGAGCGUUGUUCGGAAUUAUUGGGCGUAAAGGGUGCGUAGGCGGUUUUGGUAAGUCUUGUGUGAAAUCUCCGGGCUCAACUCGGACCUGCACGAGAAACUGCCGGGCUUGAGUGUGGGAGAGGUGAGUGGAAUUCCUGGUGUAGCGGUGAAAUGCGUAGAUAUCAGGAGGAACACCUGUGGCGAAAGCGGCUCACUGGACCAUAACUGACGCUGAUGCACGAAAGCUAGGGGAGCAAACAGG
rnacentral:rRNA from 1 species